rnacentral:tRNA from 1 species
GAGUUGCAGCUCAGUGGUAGAGUGCUUGCCUCAAAUGUGUGGGGCACUGGGUUCAAUCCUCAGCACCACA